GAUGAACGCUGGCGGCGUGCCUAAUACAUGCAAGUCGAGCGAACGGACGAGAAGCUUGCUUUUCUGAUGUUAGCGGCGGACGGGUGAGUAACACGUGGAUAACCUACCUAUAAGACUGGGAUAACUUCGGGAAACCGGAGCUAAUACCGGAUAAUAUUUUGAACCGCAUGGUUCAAAAGUGAAAGACGGUCUUGCUGUCACUUAUAGAUGGAUCCGCGCUGCAUUAGCUAGUUGGUAAGGUAACGGCUUACCAAGGCAACGAUGCAUAGCCGACCUGAGAGGGUGAUCGGCCACACUGGAACUGAGACACGGUCCAGACUCCUACGGGAGGCAGCAGUAGGGAAUCUUCCGCAAUGGGCGAAAGCCUGACGGAGCAACGCCGCGUGAGUGAUGAAGGUCUUCGGAUCGUAAAACUCUGUUAUUAGGGAAGAACAUAUGUGUAAGUAACUGUGCACAUCUUGACGGUACCUAAUCAGAAAGCCACGGCUAACUACGG
rnacentral:rRNA from 1 species